CGCUGGCGGCAGGCCUAACACAUGCAAGUCGAACGGUAACAGGAAACAGCUUGCUGUUUCGCUGACGAGUGGCGGACGGGUGAGUAAUGUCUGGGAAACUGCCUGAUGGAGGGGGAUAACUACUGGAAACGGUAGCUAAUACCGCAUAACGUCGCAAGACCAAAGAGGGGGACCUUCGGGCCUCUUGCCAUCGGAUGUGCCCAAAUGGGAUUAGCUUGUUGGUGGGGUAACGGCUCACCAAGGCGACGAUCCCUAGCUGGUCUGAGAGGAUGACCAGCCACACUGGAACUGAGACACGGUCCAGACUCCUACGGGAGGCAGCAGUGGGGAAUAUUGCACAAUGGGCGCAAGCCUGAUGCAGCCAUGCCGCGUGUAUGAAGAAGGCCUUCGGGUUGUAAAGUACUUUCAGCGGGGAGGAAGGGAGUAAAGUUAAUACCUUUGCUCAUUGACGUUACCCGCAGAAGAAGCACCGGCUAACUCCGUGCCAGCAGCCGCGGUAAUACGGAGGGUGCAAGCGUUAAUCGGAAUUACUGGGCGUAAAGCGCACGCAGGUGGUUUGUUAAGUCAGAUGUGAAAUCCCCGGGCUCAACCUGGGAACUGCAUCUGAUACUGGCAAGCUUGAGUCUCGUAGAGGGGGGUAGAAUUCCAGGUGUAGCGGUGAAAUGCGUAGAGAUCUGGAGGAAUACCGGUGGCGAAG
rnacentral:rRNA from 1 species